UACGGAGGGUGCAAGCGUUAUCCGGAUUCACUGGGUUUAAAGGGUGCGUAGGUGGCUUGGUAAGUCAGUGGUGAAAGCCCGGAGCUCAACUCCGGAACUGCCAUUGAUACUGCUUAGCUUGAAUCAGGUCGAGGUGGAUGGAAUAAUACAUGUAGCGGUGAAAUGCUUAGAUAUGUAUUAGAACACCGAUUGCGAAGGCAGUUCACUAGGCCUGUAUUGACACUGAGGCACGAAAGCGUGGGGAUCGAACAGG
rnacentral:rRNA from 1 species